UACGUAGGGUGCGAGCGUUGUCCGGAAUUACUGGGCGUAAAGAGCUCGUAGGCGGUUUGUCGCGUCGUCUGUGAAAUCCCGCAGCUCAACUGCGGGCUUGCAGGCGAUACGGGCAGACUCGAGUACUGCAGGGGAGACUGGAAUUCCUGGUGUAGCGGUGAAAUGCGCAGAUAUCAGGAGGAACACCGGUGGCGAAGGCGGGUCUCUGGGCAGUAACUGACGCUGAGGAGCGAAAGCGUGGGUAGCGAACAGGAUUA
rnacentral:rRNA from 1 species